rnacentral:rRNA from 1 species
GGAUUAGAUACCCUGGUAGUCCACGCCGUAAACGAUGGGUACUAGGUGUUGGGAGGAUUGACCCUUUCAGUGCCGACGCUAACGCAUUAAGUACCCCGCCUGGGGAGUACGGCCGCAAGGCUGAAACUCAAAGGAAUUGACGGGGGCCCGCACAAGCGGUGGAGCAUGUGGUUUAAUUCGAAGCAACGCGAAGAACCUUACCUGGGCUUGACAUGUCGGUAGUACUUCCCUGGAAACAGGGGGGGACCCUUCGGGGAGCCGUCACAGGUGCUGCAUGGCUGUCGUCAGCUCGUGCCG